UACGUAGGGGGCUAGCGUUGUCCGGAAUCAUUGGGCGUAAAGCGCGUGUAGGCGGCCCGGUAAGUCCGCUGUGAAAGCCGGGGGCUCAACCCUCGGAUGCCGGUGGAUACUGUCGGGCUCGAGUACGGAAGAGGCGAGUGGAAUUCCUGGUGUAGCGGUGAAAUGCGCAGAUAUCAGGAGGAACACCAAUGGCGAAGGCAGCUCGCUGGGACGUUACUGACGCUGAGACGCAAAAGCGUGGGGAGCAAACAGG
rnacentral:rRNA from 1 species